rnacentral:rRNA from 1 species
GAUGAACGCUGGCGGCGUGCUUAACACAUGCAAGUCGAACGGUGAAGCAGAGCUUGCUCUGUGGAUCAGUGGCGAACGGGUGAGUAACACGUGAGCAACCUGCCCUUGACUCUGGGAAAGCGCUGGAAACGGCGUCUAAUACCGGAUAUGAGCUGCGAUCGCAUGGUCAGCAGUUGGAAAGAUUUUUCGGUCUGGGAUGGGCUCACGGCCUAUCAGCUUGUUGGUGAGGUAAUGGCUCACCAAGGCGUCGACGGGUAGCCGGCCUGAGAGGGUGACCGGCCACACUGGGACUGAGACACGGCCCAGACUCCUACGGGAGGCAGCAGUGGGGAAUAUUGCACAAUGGGCGGAAGCCUGAUGCAGCAACGCCGCGUGAGGGAUGACGGCCUUCGGGUUGUAAACCUCUUUUAGCAGGGAAGAAGCGAAAGUGACGGUACCUGCAGAAAAAGCGCCGGCUAACUACGUGCCAGCAGCCGCCGUAA